rnacentral:rRNA from 1 species
GAAUUGCCUUUGAUACUGUUAUUCUUGAGUGUAGUUGAAGUGGGCGGAAUAUAGCAUGUAGCGGUGAAAUGCAUAGAUAUGCUAUAGAACACCAAUUGCGAAGGCAGCUCGCUAAACUAUAACUGACGCUGAGGCACGAAAGCGUGGGGAGCGAACAGGAUUAGAUACCCUGUGUAGUCCACGCCUGUAAACGAUGAACACUCGCUGUUGGCGAUACACAGUCAGCGGCUUAGCGAAAGCGUUAAGUGUUCCACCUGGGAAUUACGAUCGCAAGGUUGAAACUCAAAGGAAUUGACGGGGGCCCGCACAAGCGGAGGAGCAUGUGGUUUAAUUCGAUGAUACGCGAGGAACCUUACCUGGGCUUAAAUGCAUAUUGACGUACUGUGAAAGCA